rnacentral:rRNA from 1 species
UGGAGAGUUUGAUCCUGGCUCAGAUUGAACGCUGGCGGCAUGCCUUACACAUGCAAGUCGAACGGCAGCACGGGUGCUUGCACCUGGUGGCGAGUGGCGAACGGGUGAGUAAUACAUCGGAACGUACCUUGUAGUGGGGGAUAGCUCGGCGAAAGCCGGAUUAAUACCGCAUACGCUCUGAGGAGGAAAGCGGGGGACCUUCGGGCCUCGCGCUACAAGAGCGGCCGAUGUCAGAUUAGCUAGUUGGUGAGGUAAAAGCUCACCAAGGCGACGAUCUGUAGCUGGUCUGAGAGGACGACCAGCCACACUGGGACUGAGACACGGCCCAGACUCCUACGGGAGGCAGCAGUGGGGAAUUUUGGACAAUGGGCGAAAGCCUGAUCCAGCAAUGCCGCGUGUGUGAAGAAGGCCUUCGGGUUGUAAAGCACUUUUGUCCGGAAAGAAAUCCUCUGGGUUAAUACCUCGGGGGGAUGACGGUACCGGAAGAAUAAGCACCGGCUAACUACGUGCCAGCAGCCGCGGUA